GACGAACGCUGGCGGCGUGCUUAACACAUGCAAGUCGAACGGAAAGGCCCUGCUUUUGUGGGGUGCUCGAGUGGCGAACGGGUGAGUAACACGUGAGUAACCUGCCCUUGACUUUGGGAUAACUUCAGGAAACUGGGGCUAAUACCGGAUAGGAGCUCCUGCUGCAUGGUGGGGGUUGGAAAGUUUCGGCGGUUGGGGAUGGACUCGCGGCUUAUCAGCUUGUUGGUGGGGUAGCGGCUUACCAAGGCUUUGACGGGUAGCCGGCCUGAGAGGGUGACCGGCCACAUUGGGACUGAGAUACGGCCCAGACUCCUACGGGAGGCAGCAGUGGGGAAUAUUGCACAAUGGGCGGAAGCCUGAUGCAGCAACGCCGCGUGCGGGAUGACGGUCUUCGGGUUGUAAACCGCUUUCGCCUGUGACGAAGCGUGAGUGACGGUAAUGGGUAAAGAAGCACCGGCUAACUACGUG
rnacentral:rRNA from 1 species